UACGUAGGGGGCAAGCGUUGUCCGGAUUUAUUGGGCGUAAAGAGCGUGUAGGCGGCUUUACAGGUCCGUUGUGAAAACUCGAGGCUCAACCUCGAGACGCCGGUGGAAACCGUAAAGCUAGAGUCCGGAAGAGGAGAGUGGAAUUCUUGGUGUAGCGGUGAAAUGCGCAGAUAUCAGGAAGAACACCCGUGGCGAAGGCGGCUCUCUGGGACGGUACUGACGCUGAGACGCGAAAGCGUGGGGAGCGAACAGG
rnacentral:rRNA from 1 species